rfam:Dipodomys ordii contig_7057, whole genome shotgun sequence.
GGGAAAGUGGCUCAGUGGUAGAGUGUUUGCCUUGCAUGCAUGAGGCCCUGUGUUCAAUUCCCCAGCACUACUU